rnacentral:rRNA from 1 species
CAAGAUAGCCGAAUGACUUGGAAAAGUCAGCCAAAGUGGGUGAAAGCCCCGUAGGCAAAAUUUUGUGAGCACCUAUGAGUAUCCUGAGUACGGCGGAACACGAGAAAUUCCGUCGGAAUCUAGGAGGACCAUCUCCUAAGGCUAAAUACUCCCUAGUGACCGAUAGCGAACCAGUACCGUGAGGGAAAGGUGAAAAGCACCCCGGGAGGGGAGUGAAAUAGAACCUGAAACCGUGUGCCUACAACAAGUUAGAGCCCGUUAAUGGGUGAUAGCGUGCCUUUUGUAGAAUGAACCGGCGAGUUACGAUUGCAUGCGAGGUUAAGUUGAAGAGACGGAGCCGUAGCGAAAGCGAGUCUGAAUAGGGCGAUAGAGUAUGUAGUCGUAGACCCGAAACCAUGUGAUCUACCCAUGUCCAGGUUGAAGGUGCGGUAAAACGCACUGGAGGACCGAACCAGGACACGUUGAAAAGUGUUUGGAUGAGGUGUGGGUAGCGGAGAAAUUCCAAACGAACUUGGAGAUAGCUGGUUCUCUCCGAAAUAGCUUUAGGGCUAGCCUCGGAAGUAAGAAUGAUGGAGGUAGAGCACUGUUUGGACUAGGGGCCCAUCUCGGGUUACCGAAUUCAGAUAAACUCCGAAUGCCAUUCAUUUAUAUCCGGGAGUCAGACUGCGAGUGAUAAGAUCCGUAGUCGAAAGGGAAACAGCCCAGACCACCAGCUAAGGUCCCCAAAUGUAUGUUAAGUGGAAAAGGAUGUGGGGUUGCACAGACAACUAGGAUGUUGGCUUAGAAGCAGCCACCAUUUAAAGAGUGCGUAAUAGCUCACUAGUCGAGUGACCCUGCGCCGAAAAUGUACCGGGGCUAAACAUACUACCGAAGCUGUGGAUUGUACUUACGUACAAUGGUAGGAGAGCGUUCUAAGGGCGUUGAAGGUAGAUCGUGAGGACUGCUGGAGCGCUUAGAAGUGAGAAUGCCGGUAUGAGUAGCGAAAGACAGGUGAGAAUCCUGUCCACCGAAUAACUAAGGUUUCCUGGGGAAGGCUCGUCCGCCCAGGGUUAGUCGGGACCUAAGCCGAGGCCGACAGGCGUAGGCGAUGGACAACAGGUUGAUAUUCCUGUACUCGUUGUUUUCGUUUGAGCAAUGGAGGGACGCAGGAGGCUAGGAAAAGCAGACGAAUGGAAAUGUCUGUCUAAGCAGUGAGUUUU